CUGGUGGACAAAGGAAUACCUUGGCUCAAGUAUCGAUGUGUGAUUCAGUGAGACGCAGUCUAUUCAAGUAUAACUCUACCGUGGUCAAGCGCUUUUACCUUUCUGGUGGACAAAGGAAUACGUUGGCUCAACCGAUGAAGUUAAAUGAAGCCGCCGCUGGGGGAAUUAUAACAAGAUCGAGAGGCUAAACACGAAUUCAACAAGUGUCAUUUGAUAUCAUUCGUAUAUCAAUGUAUAUGUAUGCACAUGCAUUUGGUGCGUAUAAAGUAUGCGGUGAAUUCACACGUUUGCUUCGUAUUUCGCUUUUCAAACCAACCAAAAUGCUUUAACUUCAUCUAUUUUAUCACAGAAUUCGGGUAUAGUAAUUGUCGAACGCCAAAUGUAUCGUCUAUUCACGCUAAAUCGAUCUGUAUUUCAAUUUCGAUUUCAAUGUCAAUUUUAUUACCAUCUUGAGGUUAUUAACCGGCCAAAUUGGGCCUCUGAUUCGGGGAUUGGGUUUCAAUAAAGCGUCACAUUAAACUGUAUUCAGUCAUUCAAAAGUAGAUUAUAUAAAACUUCCUUUCUAGCUGUUUCAGGGCACUCGUUAAUAAAAGUUAUAAACAAACACUAAUUUGGCCCGUAUACAGUACAUUAUCAAUACCUUACUGGGCACAACAUAGGAAAUCAAGUUCAUGUGUGAGAGAAAUUUAGGAUCUACUUUAUCUACAUUUGCGAUAAAUCGGCAAGUUGGAUGUCAUGAAAGAUUGGUUACUCAUGAAAAUUCAUUAAUGUCUUAUCACUAUACUGCAUGAUCUUUUUGGUCUACCAAAUACAUAUUCUUACAAUUUCUGCUACUUUCAUCCAUGCAUGAUUGCAUGUUCAAACACAACACUGUGGUUAUAAACACCUGAAUUGCAUUUUGAUCCUGCUAUUUUAAAAUAUUGAACAAGC